GACGAACGCUGGCGGCGUGCCUAAUACAUGCAAGUCGAACGAAGCUGUUUUAACUGGUGCUUGCACCGACUUAAACAACUGAGUGGCGAACGGGUGAGUAACACGUGGGUAACCUGCCCCAAAGCGGGGGAUAACAUUUGGAAACAGAUGCUAAUACCGCAUAACCACAGAAACCACAUGGUUUCUGUGUCAAAGAUGGUUUCGGCUAUCACUUUGGGAUGGACCCGCGGCGUAUUAGCUAGUUGGUAAGGUAAUGGCUUACCAAGGCAAUGGUACGUAGCCGAACUUAGAGAUUGAUCGGCCACAUUGGGACUGAGACGCGGCCCAAACUCCUACGGGAGGCAGCAGUAGGGAAUCUUCCACAAUGGACGAAAGUCUGAUGGAGCAACGCCGCGUGAGUGAAGAAGGUUUUCGGAUCGUAAAACUCUGUUGUCAGAGAAGAACGUGUGCGAGAGUAACUGCUCGUGCAGUGACGGUAUCUGGCCAGAAAGCCACGGCUAACUACGUGCCAGCCGCCGCAGUAA
rnacentral:rRNA from 1 species